AGAGUUUGAUCCUGGCUCAGGACGAAUGCUGGCGGCGUGCUUAAUACAUGCAAGUCGAACGGAGUUAAGGGUUUCGGCCUUUAACUUAGUGGCGAACGGGUGAGUAACGCGUGAAUAACCUGACUCAAAGAGGGGGAUAACAACGGGAAACUGUUGCUAAUACCGCAUGAGACCACAACACCGCAUGAUGAAGGGGUCAAAGAUUUAUCGCUUUGAGAGGGGUUCGCGUCCCAUUAGGUAGUUGGAGGGGUAACGGCCCACCAAGCCAACGAUGGGUAGCCGAGCUGAGAGGCUGAUCGGCCACACUGGAACUGAGACACGGUCCAGACUCCUACGGGAGGCAGCAGUAGGGAAUAUUGGGCAAUGGGCGCAAGCCUGACCCAGCAACGCCGCGUGAGGGAAGAAGGUUUUCGGAUUGUAAACCUCUGUCCUAUGUGACGAAGGAAGUGACGGUAGCAUAGGAGGAAGCCCCGGCUAACUACGUGCCAGCAGCCGCGGUAAUACGUAGGGGGCGAGCGUUGUCCGGAAUUACUGGGCGUAAAGGGUGCGUAGGCGGUUUGGUAAGUUGGAUGUGAAAUACCCGGGCUUAACUUGGGGGCUGCAUCCAAUACUGUCGGACUUGAGUGCAGGAGAGGAAAGCGGAAUUCCUAGUGUAGCGGUGAAAUGCGUAGAUAUUAGGAGGAACACCGGUGGCGAAGGCGGCUUUCUGGACUGUAACUGACGCUGAGGCGCGAAAGCUGGGGGAGCGAACAGGAUUAGAUACCCUGGUAGUCCCAGCCGUAAACGAUGGACGCUAGGUGUGGGGGGACGAUCCCCCCGUGCCGCAGCCAACGCAUUAAGCGUCCCGCCUGGGGAGUACGGCCGCAAGGCUAAAACUCAAAGGAAUUGACGGGGGCCCGCACAAGCAGCGGAGCAUGUGGCUUAAUUCGAAGCAACGCGAAGAACCUUACCAGGGCUUGACAUAUGGGUGAAGCGGGGGAGACCCGUGGCCGAGAGGAGCCCAUACAGGUGGUGCAUGGCUGUCGUCAGCUCGUGUCGUGAGAUGUUGGGUUAAGUCCCGCAACGAGCGCAACCCCCGCCGCGUGUUGCCAUCGGGUGAUGCCGGGAACCCACGCGGGACCGCCGCCGUCAAGGCGGAGGAGGGCGGGGACGACGUCAAGUCAUCAUGCCCCUUAUGCCCUGGGCUGCACACGUGCUACAAUGGCCGGUACAGAGGGAUGCCACCCCGCGAGGGGGAGCGGAUCCCGGAAAGCCGGCCCCAGUUCGGAUUGGGGGCUGCAACCCGCCCCCAUGAAGUCGGAGUUGCUAGUAAUCGCGGAUCAGCAUGCCGCGGUGAAUACGUUCCCGGGUCUUGUACACACACGCCCGUCA
rnacentral:rRNA from 1 species